rnacentral:lncRNA from 13 species
CAUAAAGGGCUGUUGAAUUUUGUCAAAUGCCUUCUCUGCAUCAAUUGAGAUAAUCAUGUGGUUUUUGUUUUUGGUUCUGUUUAUGUGGUGAAUUACAUUUAUAGACUUGCGUAUGUUGAACCAGCCUUGCAUCCCCGGGAUGAAUCCUACUUGAUCAUGAUGAAUAAGUUUUUUGAUUUUCUUAAUGUGGAAGGGGUAGUAACUGAAGUGGAUUUUUUAAUAGAUUUUGCCAAAGGAUUAACCAGUUAAUUAUUGUUUUUCAUGUUUUAGAAUUGGUUCUAAAACAUAAUACUUUGCAUUUUUGUUGAUGGAGUACUUACAGUCUUAAGAGAACAUUUCUUAAGUGAAGCUGUUUUAUAAAAUUAAAAGUUUUUCUUAUAGAUUAUAUAUGCAAUUGUCAAAACAUAGGAUCCCCGAUUUAAGUUUUAGGUAAAUAACACACAAUUUUUUAGAACACAUAUUUUUCAUGCAGUACUUAAACAUACUUACACUAAAAAUUUAGUGCAAAUACUAUAUAUUUAUAGUAAAAGUUAGUCAUUGAUCUUAAUUUUGAAUUUAACUGCCAUCUUGUAUUUUUUACUACCUGACAACACUAAUUGUGUAACUGGAUGAUAAAACUGAAUCUUUGGUGGUGGGGGUUUCUUGUAUUUGCACAGGUGAUGAUGAACAGAGUGACUGGUUCUACAAAAAGGAGUCAGGUGGAGCAUGUGGUAUCACUGGAGUUGUGCCCUGGUGGGAAAAGGAAGAUCCUACUGAGCUAGACAAAAAUUUACCAGAUCCUGCCUUUGAAAGUAUCUUAACUGGUUCUUUUCCCCUUAUGUCGCAUCCAAGCAGAAGAGGUUUCCAAGCUAGACUCAGUUGCCUUCAUGGAAUGUCUUCAAAGAAUAUUAAAAAAUCUGGAGGGACUCCAACUUUAAUGGUAGGCAUACUUUUUUUGUGUAAUUGUCGUGUUUGGAAAUGUUUUCAUUUCUAUGGAAUAAAAAGCCACAUCCUCAUCCUUUAUUCAUAUUCUAAUGUUAUACUUAAAAAUAAUCCAUUUUUUUUGUAGGCUACAAACUGGACCAGUGAGAUUCCCCUAUAAACCAAAUCUUCUAAUGCUAAUAAAUUAGUUACAUUUUGAACA